rnacentral:rRNA from 1 species
CCUACGGGAGGCAGCAGUGGGGAAUCUUAGACAAUGGGGGAAACCCUGAUCUAGCCAUGCCGCGUGAUCGAUGAAGGCCUUAGGGUUGUAAAGAUCUUUCAGUUGGGAAGAUAAUGACGGUACCAACAGAAGAAGCCCCGGCUAACUCCGUGCCAGCAGCCGCGGUAAUACGGAGGGGGCUAGCGUUAUUCGGAAUUACUGGGCGUAAAGCGCACGUAGGCGGAUUAGAAAGUCAGAGGUGAAAUCCCAGGGCUCAACCUUGGAACUGCCUUUGAAACUCCUAGUCUUGAGGUCGAGAGAGGUGAGUGGAAUUCCGAGUGUAGAGGUGAAAUUCGUAGAUAUUCGGAGGAACACCAGUGGCGAAGGCGGCUCACUGGCUCGAUACUGACGCUGAGGUGCGAAAAGCGUGGGGAGCAAAACAGGAUUAGAUACCCUGGUAGUCCACGCCGUAAACGAUGAAUGCCAGUCGUCGGGUAGCANNUAUGUGACACACAACGAAUAAGANAUCCGUCCGUGGGAGGUACGGUCGCGAAGAAGUAAAACUAAACAAAGAAAGUAGAGGCGUGAGACGAGCGAACGACGACGACGAGGGAGGAGG